AAAUCUAAAUAUUUAAGAUUAGGAUUGUAAGUGUGAUAAACCCACAAUUAAAAUAGGAUUGGUCCGAAUUGGAUGGACUUACCGAUUGGCAUUUGUACGUGAGAAAAUAAAAUUUAAAAAAUAGGAAAUCUGUAAAUGUUUUAAGUUAAGAUUUUCUCCUCCGACAUAAAUAUAAUCAUUAUCGAUACUUUUCUAUUUCGUCCGCCGCUCUCUUCUCUCCGUCUCACCCAAAUCCAACUUUUCUCUUUUGAUUGAAGGUCAAAAGUUAGAAAGUGAUCUCUUAAAAAUUAAAUCCAUCCAAAAAUGAGGCAAGGUUUGUUCAUAUACCUUCCAUCAGACAAUAUUCUAUUGAGAUUCUCUCCUCUUGAAAACAUUGCAACUUGCAAACCAUGGCUCAAUUUGAUUGAGAGUGACGCAUUUCUCAAGUCACAUCUUUCUAUAUCCACUCCCGCCCUAGUUGUCUCGAUGCCGGCCGGCUACAGAUUCAAAUUGGUUCAAUGUUUUCGAAUUGGAAGACAAGCACAAGCAUAAACAUGAUCCAAUCACCAAGUUUGAUUUCCCCCAAGCCUCAAGAAUAGAGGGUUCAGCCAACGGAUUGCUUCUUCUUAAAAAUCCUUUUAUUGAUCAUCUGUAUAUAUGUAAUCCGAUCACCCGUGAAUUUGUUGAGCUUCAUUGGUGUCUUACUCACCCACUUCGGUUGGGAGAUUGUUAUGGAUUUGGAUUGAGCAAAAUAAGCGGACAACAUAAGAUUGUCUAUCUUAAUCCUAGGUACAGCGGAUGUCAUAUAUACACUCUUGGAACUGGAUCUUCAUGGAGGCGCAUUAAAGCCGCUGCCCCCUCGUUUCGUCGCAGCUUCAAUUCAGCUGGUGUAUUAGUUAACGGCAAUCUACAUUGGCCAGUUACAAACGAUAAUUGGUUUCCUUACAUUUGCUGUUUUGAUCUUGAGACAGAAAGUUUUAGCACCUUCUCUGCACCUGUUAGAAGUUUUUGCGGAAUGUUGUAUACUUUGGUGGGCUGUUUGUGUUUCAGUGAUGAUGUCCCACAUUUCGUUGAUAAUAUACUCUGGUUGUUGAAAGAAUACGAACAAGUUGAGAAAUGCUGGUGCAAGGUACAUUGCAUCGUCCGGCAAGGAGAAUACAUAAGGGUCUUGGUGGAUGAUAUGAUCUUUGGUCAAGAUGAACUCACACGUCUUCAGCCUAUCAAUAUUUACAGAAAUGGUGACAUGUUGCUGCUGUUUGAUGAGAAGCUCUUUCAAUACUAUUCUAAAAAGAGGCGAUCUAUUAGAGAAAUUGGUGUAUUUGGUAAAAUGGGUACUGAUUGUUACUAUAUCAAUUCCAUUCUUCUCUCUCUAAGUUUCUUUCCCUUAAAAGAAUUUUGGUAUGAAGAAUGUAAUAUCAUUUUAGUUAACAUUUUUAUUCUUAUCACAUGACUUGUAAAUUUACUUAUGUAGAUAUUAUUAAUUGGUUGUUCAGCUA